UCUCACCCCACAUAAUUUCUGCGGGUUGCAACCCCAGUUCUUGGGGAUCACAAUCCUUCUUGGCUAGAAAAAUGGUUCUAGUUGAACUUUCAGCAAUUUAGAACAUGUUGAAGGUGCACAGAGCUUAGGCCCUGGUUUGCUGUAGAGACUUGUUUCUCUGCUAUGCGUCCUGGCAUUGGGAUUAUCUCAGCAAAGUCAGUUCCUGGCCCUAGGAAAUGGCAGCAGGAUCUGUUCUGCAGGCCCAGUUGAAGACCCUCUUUCUUCUCUCCCCUCAGCUGAGUUGAGGCCAGCAACAGCUUUCAUGAGAGUCUUCUAUGACACGUGCCCCAAGCAUCCUGAUUGUAGGCUGACUGUGGCAGAUGCUUCUCAGCUGGAAAGGGUGGAGCUCCACAAACUCAUGUUUUCCUGCUCUGGUGGCUCACAGACCACUGGUGAUCCAUGAGAACUCAGAAGAUGGCCUGUGAAACAGCACAGAAAAAAAGGAAUACAGCAAACCCACAGAUGCCUUCUUGCACAGCCAACAUCCUGUUUCUGUCCUGGGAAAAAACCAGAAGAAACUUCAGACCCACUAGAACCUUCUGAACACAAGGAAAGUCACUUAGAGCUGCUAAGUGCUGUGCAAUGCUUUUCUUAUUUGCUGCUGAACUGGACUGCCAGAGAAUACCUGUCCAUCACUGUUACAGGCUGACAACAGUGCUGUGAAGACCUGAGGAUUUCCCAGUGGUUUGAUGGUUUUAUGUGGGCUGACUUUUUCUGUUUGUGUGCUGCAUUAUAGCUCAUUAAAUCAAUAGCAGUGAUUCACCAGGGAGGAGACA